rnacentral:rRNA from 1 species
CAUGUCCUUUAGUUUAAAAUUUAAGGUUUAGCCUGCCCAGUGAUUAUAUAAAUGGCCGCGGUAUUUUGACCGUGCAAAGGUAGCAUAAUAAUUAGUUUUUUAAUUGGAAACUGGAAUGAAUGGUUGAACGAGAUGAUUUCUGUCUCUUUAAUAAUUUUAUUAAAAUUUAAUUUUUAAGUUAAAAAGCUUAAAUGUUUUAAUAAGACGAGAAGACCCUAUAGAGUUUAAUAUUUAAUUUAAUAUAAGAUUUUAGAAUUUAUUAUUAUAUUGAAAUUAAUUAUUUUGUUGGGGUGACAAAAAGAUAAAAUUAACUCUUUUUAUUUUAUAAUACUAAUUAGUAAAUUUUUGAUCCAUUUUUUAUGAUUAUAAGAUUAAAUUACCUUAGGGAUAACAGCGUUAUUUUUUUGAAGAGUUCAAAUCGAUAAAAGAAAUUGCGACCUCGAUGUUGGAUUAAAAUUUAUAUUAGGUGUAGAAGCUUAAAUAUUGGGUCUGUUCGACCUUUAAAAUUUUACAUGAUCUGAGU